AAGAAAAAGCUUUUAAAGGCUGUUGUCUCUAAAGUAAGGUGAGAAGAAAGAGUUUCGAUUGACUUUGGCGAAGAUUGUACAAGAAAAAGUAAUCGAAAGUGAGAUAAAAAUCCAUCGAUCCAUUCACGGGAUCACUCCCCGGUCAGUGAAAAAAUAACUGCUCUCUUUUUCUCUUUUCUUGUCACUGGAGAGGCAAGUUGCUGUGCCCAGUGGUCUUGGUGUCUGGAUUGGAGACGUCGCUGGUCGAGAUUUGGAGCUCUCCUUCAUCCUCGAUCUCGAUUCUUUCGUUCUGCAGCAAUCGAUCCAGCUAAUGAUCAAUCAAAAGAGGAGAGAAAAACCAAAAGAGUGUACCUGCGAUUCUUUGAGUGUCGAGAAUAACGUGAUCGCUGUCGCAGCUGCUAUUCCAAAGACUGGCGCGAGGGCUUUGGCCAUAUCCAUGUCUGCUUGUUUCCGUUCAAGCGGUGACCUUCCCAUCCUUGAUUUUGAGUAUCGAUAGAGAACUUAACGGGAAGAAUGCAAAGGACUCUACCUUUCUCGACUGACUGGAAAUACCCAAAACACGUGCCGAGAUUUAUGAUUCGACUCCACAAAAAUCCCCUUCUUUGCUUGCUAGGAAAGAAAAAAAAUGAAUCCCACCAGCGCGUACAAGGGAAGUGUCCUUCAGUUUAGUCGGGCUUAUAUACAAGGGCG
rnacentral:lncRNA from 1 species